rnacentral:rRNA from 1 species
CCUACGGGAGGCAGCAGUGAGGAAUAUUGGUCAAUGGACGAGAGUCUGAACCAGCCAAGUAGCGUGAAGGAUGACUGCCCUAUGGGUUGUAAACUUCUUUUAUAUGGGAAUAAAAUGUUCCACGUGUGGGAUUUUGUAUGUACCAUAUGAAUAAGGCUCGGCUAACUCCGUGCCAGCAGCCGCGGUAAUACGGAGGAUCCGAGCGUUAUCCGGAUUUAUUGGGUUUAAGGGGUGCGUAGGUGGAUUGUUAAGUCAGUUGUGAAAGUUUGCGGCUCAACCGUAAAAUUGCAGUUGAAACUGGCAGGCUUGAGUACAGUAGAGGUGGGCGGAAUGCGUGGUGUAGCGGUGAAAUGCUUAGAUAUCACGAAGAACACCGAUUGCGAAGGCAGCUCACUAGACUGCAACUGACACUGAGGCACGAAAGUGUGGGUAUCAAACAGGAUUAGAUACCCCGGUAGUC